GCUUUGCUGAAAUAUACGCUUUCUUAUUGAUCACUUUUUUUUCUUUAUACAUCACAUUAAGGGAGUCUCAUAUUUAAUCCCGCCAUGGCGGGAUUGUGCGGACACCCACCUUGCUUAUCAGGGGAAAAUAAUGUGCAUAUAAGGGCGGUAUUUUGGCUUUUUA
rnacentral:other from 1 species